rnacentral:rRNA from 1 species
AUUGAACGCUGGCGGCAUGCCUAACACAUGCAAGUCGAACGGAAACGAUGGGAGCUUGCUCCCAGGCGUCGAGUGGCGGACGGGUGAGUAACACAUAGGAAUCUGCCCAGUAGCGGGGGACAACUUGGGGAAACUCAAGCUAAUACCGCAUACGCCCUACGGGGGAAAGCGGGGGACCUUCGGGCCUCGCACUAUUGGAUGAGCCUAUGUCAGAUUAGCUUGUUGGUGGGGUAAAGGCCUACCAAGGCGACGAUCUGUAGCUGGUCUGAGAGGACGAUCAGCCACACUGGGACUGAGACACGGCCCAGACUCCUACGGGAGGCAGCAGUGGGGAAUAUUGCACAAUGGGCGAAAGCCUGAUGCAGCAAUGCCGCGUGUGUGAAGAAGGCCUGCGG